AGUGUGGUUAUUCUUCCCAGUCUGGAGAGGUCAGGGAGUGGCAAACUCAGUGUGCUUGCAUGCACUUUGGAGAGAUAUUAUUUAUGUAUGAGACACCAGUUUAAGUGAGGAUGUUGUUGUCUCCCACCCUGCCCUGGAGUAUUUGCCCACCAAUUACUGUCUCCUGCUGGUGUUGGCAGACACAGGAGGAGGAUGGUGGUCUGGGGGAACCUAGGGCCUACAAAGAGAGUGUGAAAGCUUUUUGGAAUUCCAAGUGAUCUCACUCCCAGGUUCCUGCAGGAUGUUGGGAAAGUAUGCUCUUUGCUUUCUUUCCCAGGAUUUCAUCAAGCAAGGUGGCCAUGAAGCUAUCACUUUCACUUAUCUCAGUUUAGGAAAGCUCUGAAUUCAUUGAUGAAUUAUGCUUAGCAGGCAUGAUGCACAUGUUGAACUUUUCUCCGGGACAAAUUAGGGACAUCUGAGAUGGAAGUGUGUAUUUUCUUACACAUCCAAUGGCCUGGAACAGCAUCUUGGUUUUUUGGAAAGCAGGGGCUAGAGCUCUGGUUGCUGUAAACUGCUUGGGUUUUCUUCCUUAUGGCUGUGAUGUCCUUGGAUUGAUACCUGGCCAUUUGCAAGCCUCUGCAUUACUCCACCAUCAUGAGCCUGAGGACUAGCUUCCACCUGGUCACUGCCUGCUUUGUCGUGGGCUUCACUCUCAUCACUGGUCUCAUGGUGAAGGUUUCCCAGUUAUCUUUCUGUGGACCCCAUGUCAUCCCUCACUUCUUCCGUGACCUCGGCCCUCUGAUCCAACUCUCCUGUUCUGACACCAGAUCUACUGAAACGUUGGCCUUUGUCCUUGUUUCAUUCGUUCUUUUUACAUCCCUCAUUAUAACCAUCAUUGCAUAUGGCAACAUAGUAGUCACAAUUGUACGACUCCCAUCAGCCAAGGAGCGGCAGAAAGCUUUCUCCACCUGCUCCUCUCACCUCAUUGUCCUCUCUCUGGUGUAUGGCAGCUGUGUCUUCAUAUAUGUGAAGCCGAAGCAAAUGGACAGGCUGGACUCCAACAGAAAGGCUGCUCUUGUGAACACAGUGGUGACCCCACUGCUGAACCCGAUCAUUUACACUCUGCGGAACAAGCAGGUCCACCAGGCUCUGAGGGAUGCUCAGUCCAGAAUGAAAUUGUAAAAACAGAAUCACAACCUCCCAGUGAAGGAAUGCACCUUCUCCUUGAUCUAAUCCAAUCUUUCUCCUGUUUCUGGAAUCCUUUAUAAAAAAUUUGCAAAUAUGUUUUUUUUAGGUUCUGUUUGUUUUUUCUUAGAAUAAGGGCUAAUUGUCCCUCUCCCUCUCCCUCUCCCUCUCCCUCUCCCUCUCCCUCUCUUUCCACGGUCUCCCUCUCCCUCUCUUUCCACGGUCUCCCUCUCAUGCCGAGCGGAAGCUGGACUGUGCUGCUGCCGUCUCGGCUCACUGCAACCUCCCUGCCUGAUUCUCCUGCCUCAGCCUGCCGAGUGCCUGCGAUUGCAGGCGCGCGCCGCCACGCCUGACAGGUUUUCGUAUUUUUUUGGUGGAGACGGGGUUUCGCUGUGUUGGCCGGGCUGGUCUCCAGCUCCUAACCGCGAGUGAUCCACCAGCCUCGGCCUCCCGAGGUGCUGGGAUUGCAGACGGAGUCUCGUUAACUCAGGGCUCAAUGGUGCCCAGGCUGGAGUGCAGUGGCGUGAUCUCGGCUACAACCUCCACCUCCCAGCCGCCUGCCUUGGCCCCCCAAAGUGCCGAGAUUGCAGCCUCUGCCCGGCCGCUACCCCGUCUGGGAUGUGAGGAGCCCCUCUGCCUGGCUGCCCAGUCUGGAAAGUGAGGAGCCUCUCUGCCCGGCCGCCAUCCCACCUAGGAAGUGAGGAGCGCCUCUUCCCGGCCACCAUCCCAUCUAGGAAGUGAGGAGCGUCUCUGCCUGGCCGCCCAUCGUCUGAGAUGUGGGGAGCACCUCUGCCCCGCCGCCCUGUCUGGGAUGAGAGGAGCGCCUCGGCCCGGCCGAGACCCCGUCUGGGAGGUGAGGAGCGUCUCUGCCCAGCCGCCCAGUCUGAGAAGUGAGGAGACCCUCCGCCUGGCAACCGCCCCAUCUGAGAAGUGAGGAGCCCCUCCGCCCGGCUGCCACCCCGUCCGGAAGGGAGGUGGGGGUCAGCCCCCGCCAGGCCAGCCGCCCCGUCCGGGAGGGAGGUGGGGGGUCAGCCCCCCACCCGGCCAGCCACCCUGUCCGGGAGGUGAGGGGCGCCUCUGCCCGGCCGCCCCUACUGGGAAGUGAGGAGCCCCUCUGCCCGGCCAGCCACCCUGUCCGGGAGGGAGGUGGGGGGGUCAGCCCCCGGCCCAGCCAGCCGCCCCAUCCGUGAGGGAGGUCGGGGGGUCAGCCCCCCACCAGGCGAGACGCCCCGUCCGGGAGGGAGGUGGGGAGUCAGCCCCCUGCCCGGCCAGCCGCCCCGUCCGGGAGGUGAGGGGCGCCUCUGCCCGGCCGCCCCUACUGGGAAGUGAGGAGCCCCUCUGCCCGGCCACCACCCCGUCUGGGAGGUGUACCCAACAGCUCAUUGAGAACGGGCCAUGAUGACAAUGGCGGUUUUGUGGAAUAGAAAAGGGGGAAAGGUGGGGGAAAGAUUGAGAAAUCAGAUGGUUGCUGUGUCUGUGUAGAAAGAAGUAGACAUGGGAGACUUUUCAUUUUGUUCUGUACUAAGAAAAAUUCUUCUGCCUUGGGAUCCUGUUGAUCUAUGACCUUAUCCCCAGCCCUGUGCUCUCUGAAACAUGUGCUGUGUCCACUCAGGGUUAAAUGGAUUAAGGGCGGCGCAAGAUGUGCUUUGUUAAACAGAUGCUUGAAGGCAGCAUGCUCGUUAACAGUCAUCACCACUCCCUAAUCUCAAGUACCCAGGGACACACACACUCUGCCUAGGAAAACCAGAGACCUUUGUUCACUUGUUUAUCUGCUGACCUUCCCUCCACUAUUGUCCUAUGACCCUGCCAAAUCCCCCUCUGUGAGAAACACCCAAGAAUGAUCAAUAAAAAAAAAAAAAGAAUAAGGGCUAAUUUAUCUAAUAAUUCAACCUGAAAGCUCCUAUAUUACCUUUAUUUUGAGAUGAAAGUAUCUUCCUGAAUCUUUUUACUAGUUUUAAAUAAAUAGGAUUCAACAAAUUUUAGUGAAGAACCUCAUAUACAUGAGUCUGUUUGAUGCAUGUGGAAUUUCAAAGCUGAAAUGAUGUAGUUUUAAGUAUUUACUUGUGGUAAGUGCAAAGGGAUGAAGAACAAACUUCAUAAGUAUUAAGAGUAUCAAGUUAGUUCAAGGGUAGAUAUAACAUGGUCAUUGUAUAAAGUUUUGAAGGAAACAUAUAUACACAGCUGUCAGGAUAUCAAUAUAAUUACUUAAGAUGACUCAGUGCAAUUGCUUUCAAUGUUGAAUAUUCUGUAUAUAAAUCUUUACACUUUUUGUUCCCACUAUGAUAAAAACAUAUAACUGUCUCUAGAUGAAGUUGCAAGUCCUUGUUGGUUUCAAUGGUUUGCAAGAUUGAUUUCAGUGCCGACAAACCUGAAAAUGAAGCAGCACAGGGGGAGAAACAUUACAAUUUUUGGAACAAGGAAUUAAAUAGUUAAUAUUUGUUUCCCUACUACAGAAAGUUUAAAGGAAUUGGGAGAAAUAUAAUCAGAGAUGGGAAGAAGUCUGUGACUGUGAAAUCUCUGCAAAUGAAUGUAUAAACAAGUCUCUUCAUUUGUGGAAUGAGAGGUUUGGUUGUGUCACCUCGGGAUGUUCAUUUUAGUACUAAUGUGAAGUGGCGCUAUUGAUACUGAAUGUGACACAGAAACAUGCUGUAACAGAAAUAUAAUUUGAGAAUGGCAGAGAGAAGAUGAUGAGAUGUUUUAAUGGAAGAACUUAUGCUACAACUGAAAUUUAGUUAUUCAAGAUUUUGAUAGGAAAUGAAUUAGAGACAAAACCCUGGAGCUAGGAUUUGUUUUGCGUACUUGGUUAAUGGCAAUGAUCAUGUUUUGUUUUGACCACAUAUUUCUGUGAUUGUGGUGGAACAGGAAUCAAAAGAAAUUAAAGAAUGUGUAAGCAGAAACUCAGUUGUAUGUAAGAAAGCCCAAUUCCCCCUGAGAAAGAGAAAGAGCUGGAGUCCUUUAAAAAUUAACUGCCUGUUUUACUGUGGCUAGUAAGCCUUAUCUCUCCUCCUUUCCCAGGCAUUGUGAAGACCCUGUUUCUCUAGCUGUACAGCUGCAAGGUCACUAGACAGAUAAGCCAUAAAACAUGUUUUUCCUUGGAAAGUAAGAAAUGUUGUAAUGCAUGUCUCAAUUAAUUAAAUAACUCUCUUUGUUUCUUGCUUCCGUAAUAUAUUUCCCCUGCACAGGUCUCCCCCCACCUCACGAAAUGCUUAAAAGGUAACUUAACUGUUUGUUCAGGGCUCAGUCCCUUGGAUGUUAAUCUGACUGGGCCGGCGCACCUAAAUAAUAAAUAUCCUCCUCAAUCCCAUCGGUCUCUCUGAUUCCUUAUCAAUCCCACUAGAGGGGGGAUAAUAAAAGAUUACGAUGGGAAAGUUUGAGGGACAUAAUUAUGUAAGAAUUAGAAAAACACACUUCAUUGAACUAGCAGAACCCAAAUUUUUGUUCACCCUAUGUGUAUAUAAGGAUUUUCAUACAACUUUGUGUAGACUUGUUUCUUUUUCUCACAUUUGCAGUGUUCAAACUGCUAAAGGGACUGACAAAGCAAUACCAAUGAACUGAGUGGUCAUUGCAUUUUUUUUGCCUUUAAAAUUUUUAAACAUUACUAGUCUGACAUAGUGAAUCAUAUUUAUCUACUUUGAAAUAAAUGGAAAAUAUAUACAAUGUUUUCAUUUACUUUCAUCUAUACAUAUAAAGUUACAUAGCUUAAAAAUAAUUGCAUUGUUUGUGAUUAACACAAUUUGUUUACAAUUUAGUAUACUAAAGAUAUUCCACAAUUUUUAAUACACUUAUUUGUUGAUACACAUUUGAGCUAUUUCUGCCUUUUGGCUAUUGUGAAUAGUACUGUUAUGAACAUGUGUGUACAUUUACUUGUUUGAGUACUUGUUUUCAAGUCUUUAGGGGUAUAUACCUCGGAGAUAAAUUGUGAGGGUAGGGGAACAGGCAGCAAUAGCUUAAUGGGUAUGGGGUUUCCUUUGGAGAUGAUAUUAUAAAAAUGUUUUGGAACUAGAUAGAGGUGGUGGUUGUAUAACAUUUUGAACGUACUGCAUGCCGCUGAAUUGUUCACUUUUAAAUGAUUAAUUUUAUAUGUACAUUUACCUUAAUAAAAAAUUCCAUAGUUCUGAAAGUUUUA
ensembl:lncRNA novel transcript